rnacentral:rRNA from 1 species
UACGUAGGCAGCGAGCGUUGUUCGGAGUUACUGGGCGUAAAGCGUGCGUAGGCGGUGUCUUAAGUUUGUUGUGAAAUCUCCCGGCUUAACCGGGAGGGUGCGGCGAAUACUGAGAUGCUGGAGUGCCGGAGAGGUAAGCGGAAUUCCUGGUGUAGCGGUGAAAUGCGUAGAGAUCAGGAGGAACACCGGUGGCGAAGGCGGCAUCCUGGACCGAUACUGACGCUGAGGAGCGAAAGCCAGGGGAGCAAACGGG